ensembl:lncRNA
CUGGUGCGACACAGCAGUAAAUGCUGGCCUAUUGGUUAAUUUACCGAUACGAUCGGAUCGUGUGACUGCUACAGCGCGGCUGUUUCUCUUUUUUUUACUCCAGCCAUGGUGGAGAGACGUGUGAGUUGCGUCCACCGUGCAGUACAGUGCCUCCAGUCUUGGGGGUUUGAUUGCUGCCGCACCCUCUCAGGGAUCAACUGCCUGAUUUUAAGCGAAGAGUCGAGAUGCCUGCCUGGCUGCUGUCUUGUCUUGCCUUGUUUUAUCUUGUGUUCCGAUCUGUUGGCUGUCCAGUUUUGUUCCUGCUGUUUGCCCCGCCUCGCCCCUGGGGGCUUUGGGUCUCACGCUAAGCCCCUUUUGGACUAUCAUUUCACUCCAGCUUUCGCGACUGGUCGGGGCGAUCCUCAGCUGCAUAUUGGGCUGGUGUUACAAAACUGGUACUGCCUCUCCCUUUUCUCCCAGUUGUGGAGAGCUGCGCGGGACUGAGUGGGGCUACGGACAAUCGGAACCAGCACCAGCUGUGGGCUGGCUCGCAGAGUACAAGUACUUCCAAUCUGUGCUCUGUGCGAACUGAGGAUCUACCAGCUGCCGUGGGACCUUAGGGGGCAGGUCGUUUUCCACACUUUUUUUUGUUGUACAGCACCAGGUGAAUAGACUAUAGUGGGGGGGGUUGUGUGGUUUUCUUUUGGUCCACCGCUGCUGGUAAGUCCCAGUUGUGUGUUUAUUUUUAUUGUAAUUUGGGACACCGUUUUAGACAUUCAGUGCGCUGUCAGUGUUUUGUUUUUUAUUUUACAUUAAUAAAUAAAAUUGUGUUAAUAUUUGAGUCGGCCUCAGUGUGCAUCCCUGAACCUAACGUUGUUUUAAUUUCAUUUCUAAAGUUCAUAUUUCCUGGGGGCUAGAAUUCCCCCCCCCCCAGGUGGCGUUGUCAUUUUAUUAUUUCUUUUAUAACCCCGCCGACCACUUGGUCACACAAUCAUACCCAUUCACACAAGCACUUUAUCUAACACUACGUUCACACUGCAGGUCUUAAUGCUCAAUUCCGAUUUUUUUUUUUUUUUUUUUUUUUUUGUCUGGUUGUUCACACUACAAAUAAAAUGUGACAGCAAACCCGCUCUAGUGUGAACUGUUCACAAUAGUGUCAUGUGACACUAUUGAUCAUGUGACACGACACAUGAUCAAUAGUGGGUCAGCGACCCUUUUUCUUUCCGUCUCAGGUUUAAAUAUCUGGGACUCUCCACCGUUUGGUUUUAGAACUGAAGAAGCUUCACGGAUGAAACGUCUUCAAGAAACUUAAAGAAGUCUCUUUUCUUUCCAAGCUCCUUAGAUCACCAUGACCUGGAUGACUGAGAACCUACAGACAUAUUGACCUUGUUUCUAGGUUGCAUGACAGACUGACUUAAGUCCACAAGAAGAUGAUGAUGGAGGAAGAGGAGGACAGAGCAGAGUCUGCAGGAUCUAGCCAUCCCUCUGUGACCAGUGACCAGUCCAAAGGUCAAAAUCAAGCCUUCAGAGCUGAACCUGGACCAACGAGAGGUCACAGUCUGAAGGAUCCAGUCAUCCGUCUGUGAGGAGUGACCAGUCCAAAGGUCACACUCCAGACUUCAGUAAUGAAUCUGGACCAACGAGUCGCUCCUAAAUAUACGAGCCACUGUUCAGGAGCAUCCCGACUGGCCCUAGGAUGUCAGGAAUUUCGUAUCCCACCCAUGCUAGAGAUCGUACCAUUGUUCCUCUGAUGCGGCCCACCUUGCCUUCCAUCCAGGAAGAAAAUGCCACAGAAGACGAAGGAAACAGGGCAGUGUGUUGGUAAAAUGUAAUAACUGCAUGGCUGCAUCACUCAUGACUAAUCCCUGCGUUCUUCUGAACAAACUUGCCCCGGACCUCGGGUUGUUCAUUUCCUGGCAAUUCCUGGAAUCUGGAUCGUACCUGUGGCUCCACAUCUCAGUGUCCAGCUUUCAUGGCAACUGUUUCAACUGUCAGCAGCUAACAGCUGAUGUUUACAUCAGCUUUGAACUGCAGUUGAUUGCAGUCCAGCUGUCCACUCCAGUGCUGUGUACCGACCACCGGAAUACAACAAGAAUUUUAUCCAAGACUUCUCUGAAUUCUUAGCAGGAAUUAUUCCAAGAUAUGACAGUCUUAAUUCCAGGGGAUUUAAUAUCCAUGUUUGCUCCUUAAACACACCGCUGACUAAUGACUUUUUAAAUCUUAUAGACUUUUUAAAAAUCUUGUUCAGUCAGUUAAAGGCCCAACUCAGGAACGUGGACACACUUUGGAUCUUGUGCUGUCUAGUGGCCUGACUCUCUGUGACACUCUCUGUGACACUCUGUGCGAUGUUAAACAUGCUGUGGUGGAGCCUAUUCCUAAAAAAUAAAACCUGGAUCCAACUGUUUAGGCUUCCACUUAAAUGUAAAUCUGUGAGCAUGUAAGACACAGAUAUCUUAAGUUUCUUAAUUUAAAUGAACAGAAAACAGAGGUCAUUGUGUUUGGUCCCUGUGACCGCUACGAUCUUGGCCCUUUAGAGAUUUAUAAAAAACCUUUUGUGAGGACCUUCAUAGUGAUUUUUCACAGUAAUCUAACUUUUGAUUAACAGUUAAACAGUUUGCUGUAAACAAAGCGAGAUUUUUUUCUUCUCUGGCUACAUGCAAAAGUGAAGCCAUCCCUCUUGUUACAGGCAUUGCCCUUUAAGAAUGUAGCCUCAUGGGUAGUGUAGUCCGUGCUGCAGGCAGAAUGUGUGGGACUGCCCCUCCCAAUGUGUGUGUGAGAGCGAGGGAGGGAGAAAGUACGAGUUGCUACUGACGAGAAAUGGAAGAUGAAAG